rnacentral:lncRNA from 1 species
CAAUACACAUGAAGGACACUCACUCAAACAAUAGCAAGUUAGACAAUGCACCCACAAAAAGAGCAAAUUUUACACCUACAAGGAUCUACCACUGUGACCACUAUCAAGUAAAGCCUUCUGUACUUCAUUCCAGUUCAAUGUAUGAUCAUCUCAUGAUCUCAGAGCAAAAAACAGAAAACACAAAUGGUUAUAUACACAGUGGGGGGAGUGAGAUACAAUGAGUAGAAAACUCACUGCAGUGUGUCUCCUGUUGUGAGUGUAUAAUUUAUUUAUUAGUUCCAUGUC